rnacentral:rRNA from 1 species
AUGCAGUCGAGCGAGGCGGGUAGCAAUACCCAGUCGAGCGGCGGACGGGUGAGUAACGCGUGGAUAAUCUACCUUUUGGUGGGGGAUAACCCGGGGAAACUCGAGCUAAUACCGCAUGAGAUCGAAAGAUGAAAGGGGCGCAAGUCCCGCCGGAAGAGGAGUCCGCGUCCGAUUAGCUAGUUGGUAGGGUAAUGGCCUACCAAGGCGACGAUCGGUAGCCGGCCUGAGAGGGUGAUCGGCCACACUGGAACUGAGACACGGUCCAGACUCCUACGGGAGGCAGCAGUGGGGAAUUUUGCGCAAUGGGCGAAAGCCUGACGCAGCAACGCCGCGUGGAGGAUGAAGGUCUUUGGAUUGUAAACUCCUGUCAGCAGGGAAGAAGGCCUCGGCGAAGAGCCGAGGAUUGACGGUACCUGCAGAGGAAGCCCCGGCUAACUCUGUGCCAGCAGCCGCGGUAAUACAGAGGGGGCAAGCGUUAUUCGGAAUUAUUGGGCGUAAAGGGCGCGUAGGCGGCCGUGCAAGUGGAAGGUGAAAUCCCUCGGCUCAACCGAGGAACUGCCUUUCAAACUGCUCGGCUUGAGUCCGGGAGAGGUGAGUGGAAUUCCCAGUGUAGCGGUGAAAUGCGUAGAUAUUGGGAGGAACACCAGUGGCGAAGGCGGCUCACUGGACCGGAACUGACGCUGAGGCGCGAAAGCGUGGGGAGCAAACGGGAUUAGAUACCCCGGUAGUCCACGCCGUAAACGAUGAGUGCUUGGUGUAGCGGGUAUCGACCCCUGCUGUGCCGAAGUCAACACAUUAAGCACUCCGCCUGGGGAGUACGGUCGCAAGGCUGAAACUCAAAGGAAUU